rnacentral:rRNA from 1 species
CCUACGGGAGGCAGCAGUGGGGAAUAUUGGGCAAUGGGCGCAAGCCUGACCCAGCAACGCCGCGUGAAGGAAGAAGGCUUUCGGGUUGUAAACUUCUUUUGUCAGGGAAGAGUAGAAGACGGUACCUGACGAAUAAGCCACGGCUAACUACGUGCCAGCAGCCGCGGUAAUACGUAGGUGGUAAGCGUUGUCCGGAUUUACUGGGUGUAAAGGGCGUGUAGCCGGGUUGACAAGUCAGAUGUGAAAUCCUGCGGCUUAACCGCAGAACUGCAUUUGAAACUGUUGAUCUUGAGUACUGGAGAGGCAGACGGAAUUCCUAGUGUAGCGGUGAAAUGCGUAGAUAUUAGGAGGAACACCAGUGGCGAAGGCGGUCUGCUGGACAGCAACUGACGGUGAGGCGCGAAAGCGUGGGGAACAAACAGGAUUAGAUACCCCAGUAGUC